AUAUAUUUGGUUGCCAAGUGGCUACAAAAAUCUGAACUAAAUAGUUAAGUUUUAUCCUGAAUUUGUAUUAUUGCAGCAUGUAUAGUUCUAACACAAUUUGAAUCUAACGUGAAGAACGAUGACAUGUAACCAAUGACAAAGUUAAGAGGCGUGACUUGCUGGAGGAGCCCCGGCUGCGAUGUGAAGACAGUAAUUAAACCCCGCAGCAUCCGCAAAAGACAGCUGGUGUUUCAAGCGUGGAGUAUAUCGUUUCUGAUGUUGAGCGGAUUUGAACAACGACCGUGUUUGGUAAACACAUUUUUGGACCUACAAAUCUUGGUAAGUAGACUUUUGACAUUAUUGUUAAUCAGCUUUAAUUACCUGUAUACGCUUGUUAAUCCUAUUUGUAUUGAGUUCAAGUGACCGGCAUCUGCGUCAGUUGGACUGGGUGGUCAGACUGUGAUCUUACACAACCUGAGCAGAUACUUUGUAUUGAGGACAGCCGGGUGAUGAUACAAAGUACAUUACCACAAUGGGGUCAGUUACGGACACCCUUCCUUGUGGCUGCACAGCGUGAGGGGUUUUUUGUUUUCUUUCAGGCUUGAAAGCUGAAGGUAAUACAGCCAACUCUUCAAAACUGUGCUGUAUGUAAAUGUAUGUUUGAGUUAGAAUAUUCAAAUAUGAAAGGUGCAUUGUUAUUUACACGUUAAACCAGAGAAAUGGCGAAAGAUAAUGCUAACGACAGUCCAGACACGGAACAGCCAACAACCUCUACAAAUAAUCAAUCGACCAUACCCCAAAAUACAAAUGAACCAACCGCUACUUUGUUACACAGCGAUGCGCACAAUAAUCCUCAGAUACAAGGCUUGUUAACCGAGCUUAGUAGCCCCCAUUUUUCACACGAUCUAGUUGACACUCCUUCGAGCUCUCUGAUGCAAACUCAGUGCAGUGAUGGCGAUGUUAGAG
ensembl:lncRNA